GGGUUUUUCUUUAUUUCUACAUUGUAGAAUAAUAGUGAAGACAUCAAAACUAUAAAAUAACACAUAUGGAAUCAUGUACUGUAGUAACCAAAAAAAAGUGUUAAACAAAUCAAAAUAUAUUUUAUAUAUUUCAAAGUAGCCACCCUUUGCCUUGAUGACAGCUUUGCACACUCUUGGCAUUCUCUCAACUAGAUUCAUGAGGAAUGCUUUUUCAACAGUUUUGAAGGAGUUCCCACAUAUGCUGAGCACUUGUUGACUGCUUUUCCUUCACUCUGCAGUCCAAGUCACCCCAAACCAUCUCAAUUGGGUUGAGGUCAGGUGAUUUUGGAGGUCAGGUCAUCUGAUGCAGCACUCCAUCACUCUCCUUCUUGGUCAAAUAGCCCUUACACAGCCUGGAGGUGUGUUGGGUCAUUGUCCUGUUGAAAAACAAAUGAUAGUCCCACUAAGCGCAAACCAGAUGGGAUGGCGUAUCGCUGCAGAAUGCUGUGAUGGCCAUGCUGGUUAAGUGUGCCUUGAAUUCUAAAUAAAUCACCCCCACACAAUCACACCUCCUCCUCCAUGCUUCACGGUGGGAACCACAAGUGCGGAGAUCCGUUCACCUACUCUGCGUCUCACAAAGACACGGUGGUUGGAACCCAAAAUCUCAAAUUUGGACUCAUCAGACCAAAGGACAGAUUUCCACCAGUCUAAUGUCCAUUGCUCGCAUUUCUUGGCCCAAGCAAAUCUCUUCUUAUUGGUGUCUUUUAGUAGUGAUUUCUUGGGCAUCCUCUCUUCCACCUCUGCCUACGCUCUUCCUCCUCCAUCUCCUCUCUUCCUCCUCCCCUUCCUCUCCUCUCCGCCUCCUCUCCACCACCUCUGCCUCCACUCUUCCGCCUCCUUUCUUCCUCCUCCGCCUCCUCUCUUCCUCCUCCGCUUCCUCCUCUCGUCCUCUGCCUCCUCUCGUCCUCUGCCUCCUCAUCCUCUCUUCCCCCUCCUCCGCCUCCUCUCUUCCUCCUCCGCCUCCUCUCUUCCUCCUCCACCUCUUCUCUUCCUCCUCCGCUUCCUCUCCUCCUCCGCUUCCUCUCCUCCUCCGCUUCCUCUUCUCUAGUCAACUGCCUCCUCUCUUCCUCUCCUCUCGUCCUCUGCCUCCUCUUGUCCUCUGCCUCCUCGUCUCCUCUCCUCCUCCUCUCUUCCCCCUCCUCCACCUCCUCUCCUCUCCUCCGCCUCCUCCUCUCCUCUCCUCUGCGUCCUCUCCUCUUCACAGUAAAACUAUUUAAUUGCUAACUUGAAUGUGUGUAUUUUGGGGAUUUGUCUAAAAUACCAAAUAUUCUGCCCACCAUAACUUUGCUCUUAUUUUAUAGAAUUGAUUUUAUAUUUCACACAAAGAAUAGAAUUUGAUACACAGAUACACAGUAGCUUGAUAGAGGACCAUGGGUCAAGCCCAGUCAGAGGCUGGUCCGGGGAGAUGAAGGACCCUGGGUCAAGCCCAGUCAGAGGCUGGUUCAGGAAGAUGGAGGACCCUGGGUCAAGCCCAGUCAGAGGCUUGUUCAGGGAGAUGGAGGACCCUGGGUCAAGCCCAGUCAGAGGCUGGUUCAGGGAGGUAGCACUAUAUGCUAAGUUGGAACACUGACUGCAGUUAUAUGCGCAUGUAGGCUACAGGAUACACAGGUCAACGUGCAGUAGUCUGUAGAGGAUACACAGGUCAACAUGCAGUAGUCUGUAGAGGAUACACAGGUCAACAUGCAGUAGGCUGUCUGGAGGAUACACAGGUCAACAUGCAGUAGGCUGUCUGGAGGAUACACAGGUCAACAUGUAGUAGUCUGUCUAGAGGAUACACAGGUCAACAUGCAGUAGUCUGUCUAGAGGAUACACAGGUCAACAUGCAGUAGUCUGUAGAGGAUACACAGGUCAACAUGCAGUAGUCUGUAGAGGAUACACAGGUCAACAUGCAGUAGUCUGUAGAGGAUACACAGGUCAACAUGCAGUAGUCUGUAGAGGAUACACAGGUCAACAUGCAGUAGGCUGUCUGGAGGAUACACAGGUCAACAUGCAGUAGUCUGUCUGGAGGAUACACGGGUCAAAAUGCAGUAGUCUGUCUAGAGGAUACAAAAGUCAACAUGCAGUAGUCUGUUUAGAGGAUACACAGGUCAACAUGCAGUAGUCUGUAGAGGAUACACAGGUCAACAUGCAGUAGUCUGUCUAGAGGAUACAUAGGUCAACAUGCAGUAGUCUGUAGAGGAUACACAGGUCAACAUGCAGUAGUCUGUAGAGGAUACACAGGUCAACAUGCAGUAGUCUGUAGAGGAUACACAGGUCAACAUGCAGUAGUCUGUCUAGAGGAUACACAGGUCAACAUGCAGUAGUCUGUCUGGAGGAUACACAGGUCAACAUGCAGUAGUCUGUAGAGGAUACAUAUGUAGCCAAACGUAGCUGCUGCUCAUGUCGGUAUCUGUACUGAUGGCACAAAAGCCAUGACAGGAGACAUAGUGGAGUGGUAACGCGCGUGCAAGCAGUUACUCCCGACGCCACUUGGGUACAAUGCAGCAUCCACCGAGAGGCUCUUGCUGCCAAGGGAAUGCCUGACAGCUUGAAAGACGUUUUGGACACUACAAUAAAAAUGGUUAACUUUGUUAACCUCUAUGGGCUAGGUGGGACGCUUGCGUCCCACCUACGUAACAGCCACUGGCAGCCUGUGGCGCGAUUUUCAAAACCUUAAAAAUCCUAUUACUUCAAUUUCUCAAAC
rnacentral:lncRNA from 1 species